AAAUAAAAAUAAUAUAACUAGAAAGAAAAAUGUCUGGUGCCGGUAGAAAAAUAGAUGCAGUUUGAAGAAAACCUGCAAAGUUUGGUAAAAUGGGUAAUUAAAGCUAAAUGUAAAAGCUGUUGUGUACAAAUGCAAAUACAAAUGGUUGCUGGAAUGAGAAACCACAAAAUAUAAUUUUGGUAAAUGUAAUUUUUUGAAAGAUGUUUAAGAUGAUGAAAAGAUUAUUGUUUGUCAAAACAAAUAUCAAUCAGGCAACUGAAGAAACACAAGCUAGUUAAUGUUUGGUUAAGAGAACUGAAUCUAGUCAAUCUACUGUAUGCCCAUGCUGUUAAAUGGAAUGACACUGAGAUUUGGUAAAGAUCUAUAUAAAGAACUGCAUCAAAUGAUAAGCUUUAUAUGCAAAUGGAUGCAAUAGGCUGAUGUGGCAAAGUCAAAAUUUUUGUCAAUUAUUGUUUCAAUCUUAAUAAAACAAGACAUCUCUUCAAAAGAAUGCGACUUCAGAAAUCUCACGUUUAUUCGUACAUCAAAUGAAAAAACAUAUAUUGGACAACGGAUUUAACACUAGAAAACUUUUUUUAUAAAUGAUGACAUAUUUUUAUAAAUAGACAUAUGGGAUUGUAA